GACGAACGCUGGCGGCGUGCUUAACACAUGCAAGUCGAACGGAAAGGCCCUGCUUUUGUGGGGUGCUCGAGUGGCGAACGGGUGAGUAACACGUGAGUAACCUGCCCUUGACUUUGGGAUAACUUCAGGAAACUGGGGCUAAUACCGGAUAGGAGCUCCUGCUGCAUGGUGGGGGUUGGAAAGUUUCGGCGGUUGGGGAUGGACUCGCGGCUUAUCAGCUUGUUGGUGGGGUAGUGGCUUACCAAGGCUUUGACGGGUAGCCGGCCUGAGAGGGUGACCGGCCACAUUGGGACUGAGAUACGGCCCAGACUCCUACGAGAGGCAGCAGUGGGGAAUAUUGCACAAUGGGCGGAAGCCUGAUGCAGCAACGCCGCGUGCGGGAGGACGGCCUUCGGGUGGUAAACCGCUUUCGCCUGUGACGAAGCGUGAGUGACGGUAAUGGGUAAAGAAGCACCGGCUAACUACGU
rnacentral:rRNA from 1 species